GUCGUUCAAGUCCAAAUGACCUACGCAGCGGCAGCACACAAUAUCCCCCCCAACAGUGGCGGCGGCGGCGGCCCAGAUCCCUCCCCUAAGCUGGGCGAGUAUGCAUGGUGGAGUUACCAUCUCUCCGAUGGCUCUAGAUCGUUGUAUCGCUGGAGACGCUGUUCGAGGCAGAUCAGAUCGGAGUUCGUCUGAUCUGAAUCUCCGGCAGCGGUCAGUUGUUCGCCUCCUCUCUCUCUCUCAGGCUCCAGGUCAGCUCGUGUGCUCCUCCCACCUCGGCGGCGGCAAGCCGGUUGCCAGCUCCUUCCCGACCGGUGAUGCGACGCCGUGCGAACCUACAAAUCUUCAACAUGAUCGGGUAGGUACUACUUUGGUAUAUGCAUAUACAGAAGCCACCUCAGAUUACGAGGAAAACAACAUCACUAGCAAUGUUGCAAAGGGAGGUACCAUGAAACAACCACGAAGCUUUUUACUUGUCCCAAGCACCUUUGGAUGUGCAACCACAGCAACAGGAUCGGUGACAUUAAGCAGGCCAGCAAGCAAGAAUAGUAUUCCCAGUUCCAACAAUAGCCACGACAAAUGCACUGGCUAUCAAAGUAUUAAAGCCGAUAAUAUACAUCCAUUUUAAUUGUAAUCUGAGGCACCUUGAGUGCAGUGCCAAGUAAAAAUGUCGGCAUUAGCACACCAGGACCAGCACUAUCAGGACAGAAUAUUGGUGUAUGGAAGUAAAGAAUACGCUGAUGUACCUAUGAUUCUGAUAAUCCCUUGUCUGAUGUUUUUUGCAAAAAAAAAAUUGUUUGCAGCACAAUCGAUCUAUAGUUCUGAAAAUCAAGAUUUCAGCGAUUCUACCUUAUUUGCAGAGAUUAAUUCCCCAAUGCUUCUCAUUGAUGAUUCCAGUACACCGAAAAAGAAACAAUCGUUCUCUCAAGUGGUACACACACUUUCGAAUAUUAUGCAAUAUAAGUUCUUACUUUUUUCCUUGUUAAAGUCCAUGAUUCAGUCAUGUUUGAUAGCACAGUAUACAUCCUUAUCAUGUGUCAUGUUAUUGCAAGCCAUAUAUAGGUGCCGAACUAGUACGAGAUAAAGUAAACAACCGAGAGAUUUCCAUGUCCAUGGUUAAAACUAUAAGGUCCCUGUUGUUUUCUAUAGCUGGUCACAGCCUGUAAAUACUCGCUAGAUAGGCAUUACAUGUGGUGAAUACCGAAUAGUAAUUGAAUUUAGGUUGGUUGAAAGUAUAUUUUUUGGUUGUGAUAGAAAAUGAGAUCUCAUAAGUGCAUAGCAUGUAUUUUUUACUAAAUAAUUUUUACUGCUAACCAUUCUGGCCCAGCAAAGAGAAAAGAUUGGUUAUGGAGAGAGAGUUGCAGUGGCCGUGGUUGGGUGGGUGUGAUCGUUGGUAUAACGAAACAAAGAUCACCUGCAGUGCACCAUUGUAAGUAGCAAAUCGUACCCAUGGUUGGUGCAACGGCGUGGAGCAGGCUGCAGGGUCGGGUGGUGCUGUGACGUGCGCAUCACAACAGAAGAAGCUUGAUGAGCAAAAAGUACUAGAACUGGAGGCAAAGGCUGGAGGCAAGCUAGCAAAGUUGAUGCAAUUUUUUUAAUGGCAAUGCUUCUUGAGCUAUGAUUAGUUUAGUCAUUCAUACUUAGUCUUACCCAUGAUGUACCCAAAAUUAUCCUCUCAAGAAAUGUAAUAUGUAUGUCUGUC